rnacentral:ribozyme from 13 species
UUUUCUUUUUCUUUUUUCAAGUUCAAUCUAUUUUUUUCCUCUAUUUUUUUUUACAUCGAUGAACGCAAGAGAGAGGGAGAAGGUGGAGGUGAGAUGAGAAAAAAGAGAGAGGAAGGGAAAAGAGAAGAAUCUCUCUCUCUUUCGCUUUUUUCUCUCUUCUUUUUCAUCAAAA